rnacentral:lncRNA from 1 species
GAAUUAUGUGGCUCCUUCAUGUACUUUUUGAUUGAACAGUGAUAACUCAGAUAAUACAUUAUCCCGUGCCCCUCUCUGAGAGGAACCUGCCUUUUUUUUUUUUUUUUUUUCUUUUUUUUUUUUUUUUUUUUUUUUUUAACAGAGCAGUGAAAGAAGACUUCAUAGAGGCAUUUAAAGUGACAUCACCAUGCCAAUCCCAACUUACUACAACCGGCGAGAAGCAACUGCUAGACCAGAUUAAAUACGACGAAGUUACUCAUCCAUGGAUGGUGAGCGGAAUUGGAUCAGUGAACUUCCACUGUCCCCGGCAGACAUUACUUCAUCCAGCUGUGGAACCCUUUAUUCAAAGGAAAUUUUACUCCAAGUUGGAAAGGAAGGCAGUUGGGUUAAAGAGUGGCCAAGACCCAAUCAUUCCUCCCCCAACCAUACAGCAGCAGCCCCUGAGGCCCUCUGGGGAAUUCUCAGGGCU